AAGGCUGAUCGCACGUGUUGCUAACACGUAAACUCCAGA
rnacentral:tRNA from 1 species